rnacentral:rRNA from 1 species
GUGGGGAAUCUUGCGCAAUGGGCGAAAGCCUGACGCAGCCGUGCCGCGUGAAUGAUGAAGGUCUUAGGAUUGUAAAAUUCUUUCACCGGGGACGAUAAUGACGGUACCCGGAGAAGAAGCCCCGGCUAACUUCGUGCCAGCAGCCGCGGUAAUACGAAGGGGGCUAGCGUUGCUCGGAAUUACUGGGCGUAAAGGGCGCGUAGGCGGACAGUUUAGUCAGAGGUGAAAGCCCAGGGCUCAACCUUGGAAUUGCCUUUGAUACUGGCUGUCUUGAGUACGGGAGAGGUGAGUGGAACUCCGAGUGUAGAGGUGAAAUUCGUAGAUAUUCGGAAGAACACCAGUGGCGAAGGCGACUCACUGGCCCGUUACUGACGCUGAGGCGCGAAAGCGUGGGGAGCAAACAGGAUUAGAAACCCCGGUAGUCC